UAGCCGCAUGCGACUAUUUAGAUAUAAUUAUAAAUUAAAGCUAAGUAAGUUAAAAAGUCAAAGUCUCCACCUCGUUUGCUACAUUUCAAGUGCUAAGUAGCCAUAUGUGGCUGCUGUCUACCAUUUAAACAGCACAGAUCUGAGAGUUUUUCAUCAUUGCAAGUUUUUUAUUGAACAGGACUGAUCUAGUAAUUUGGGAUUGUUAUUUGGGAGAGACCUUGGAACUUGCAGACCUGAGGUCAGUGACAAAUUCGGGGUGCAUCCAGAUAUAUAUGGCAGUAAAAGUUAAUUAAAAACUAAAGUCAUCAACGGAGAAAGUAAAGAGAAGAAAAGCAAAUGACAACCCAUUCUUGAAGGGCUGCCUGCAUUAGAAAAAGCAAGUGACAAAAAGAAGAGUCUAAAGUGAAGGAUCCGAGACUUGCUACAAGAACUGAGGUCAUAUCCCACUGGCUCAGAGAAAGUAGUCCACCAGGAGAAAAGACUUGAGACAAUGAUGUGGUGAAAGAGGUACACUAUGGAGGCAACCUCAGGAAGUGCACCAAAAGAGAACUACAGAGAAAUAGUGGAAAAAAGAAGGUGAAUACAGGAUGAUUAAUGAGCUGGUUACCACUCUGAGAAACUGAUGCUCAAAUCUGCUGGAGAUGCCCUGAGGAAGUAAAGAAAUGAUUUUUUAAACUUCAAUGUCCAAACCUGCUAAUAUGAAGAAGAAACAGACACCAUGUGAACCAUUCUCGUUGAAUGCCACCAACACUGUGCCAAAUUGCCAGCAUUCCCAGAAGAGGACCUCAGUCAUAACCAGAACACAAGGGCCUGGCACAGCUUGGAACAUUGAGUUGACCUUGUCUUUGGCUGUGAUAGCCCAAAUGACAUUUAACCAGUCCCCCCAUUUCACUUCUUUGGUGACUUGUUUAAAAAAUUAUCCCCAAGUUUCCAUCUCUCCCUGUACUCACAUCCUUGCCAAUGUGGCCUUUCUUCCUGGUCAUCAAGAGUUAACAUCUGUUCACUUCUCUUUAAAUUUAGUCUGGCCUUGUAAUUUGAGUUUUCAACAGAAUACAGUAGACAUGAUGGCCUCCAGAUACCUCACGCACACUGUCUGUGAUCAAGCCAGGUUAGCCUGCUGAAGGAUCACCCCAGCCUUCAGCCAGCCACAUGCGUGAGGCCAUCCUAGAUCAGCCCACCACCACUGACUCACCAGCUGGCCAUCAUAUACGUGAAUGAACCCAGAACCCAGCUCUGAAUUAAAUCAGAAGAAUUCCCCAGCUGGCCUGCAGACUCAAAAGCAUUAAAAAAACAGUUCAUAUUUUAAGCUACGGAGGUUGGAGUGUUCUGUUAGGCAACAAAAGUUGAUGAUAUAACAUCUUUGAGCCUCAAACUUAUCAUCUGCAGAGAAGAGGACUAAAUAAAAUAAUG